rnacentral:rRNA from 1 species
GACGAACGCUGGCGGCGUGCCUAAUACAUGCAAGUAGAACGCACAGUUUAUACCGUAGCUUGCUACACCAUAGACUGUGAGUUGCGAACGGGUGAGUAACGCGUAGGUAACCUGCCUGGUAGCGGGGGAUAACUAUUGGAAACGAUAGCUAAUACCGCAUAAUAUUAAUUAUUGCAUGAUAAUUAAUUGAAAGGUGCAAUUGCACCACUACCAGAUGGACCUGCGUUGUAUUAGCUAGUAGGUGAGGUAACGGCUCACCUAGGCGACGAUACAUAGCCGACCUGAGAGGGUGAUCGGCCACACUGGGACUGAGACACGGCCCAGACUCCUACGGGAGGCAGCAGUAGGGAAACUUCGGCAAUGGACGAAAGUCUGACCGAGCAACGCCGCGUGAGUGAAGAAGGUUUUCGGAUCGUAAAGCUCGGUUGUAAGAGAAGAACGGGUGUGAGAGUGGAAAGUUCACACUGUGACGGUAUCUUACCAGAAAGGGACGGCUAACUACGUG